GGGUCAGUAGGUUGGUCGUGCCACCGGUACGUACUGGUCUCACUGAUUCCUCCUUCCUAAAGAACCGUAAUGCCAUUAAUUUGGUGUUGCGGGGAAACAGGACUGUUACUUUGAAAAAAUUAGAGUGUUUAAAGCAAGCUAACGCUUGAAUACAUUAGCAUGGGAUAAUGAAAUAGGACGAUCGAUCCUAUUUUGUUGGUUUCUAGGAUUGACGUA
rnacentral:rRNA from 1 species